AUGGAAAAAGGGAAGAAAAAGAAAAAGAAGAAGGUGAAGCUCAGGUCUUUCAAGCCAGAGGACAUGAAAGCACCAAUAUUCAAAUUGGGUAUGAAGUUCCCUACUGCAGCUGAUCUUAGAAGGGCAAUUCGAGAGUACGCUAUUCAGAAUAGAGUUGCAAUCAAGUAUGCAAAGAAUGAUAAACAAAGAAUUAGGGCACACUGCUCGGAUGACUGUCCAUGGUAUUUAUUCGCAGCACCUGACAGCAGAACCACAAGUUUUGUGGUGAAAACUUAUGUGGGGGAUCACACCUGCAGUAAAGAAUGGGAGGUCAAUGGAUUCACAUCAAGAUAUCUAGCAGGCAAGUAUUUGGAGAACUUCAGGGCAGACGAAAAGAUGACAUUGAUGAAUUUUGCAAGGUUGGUGCAGAAGGACUACAACAUGAUCCCUACAAGGAGCAAGCUAGCAAGAGCAAGAAGGAUAGCAAUAAAGCAGAUUCAUGGAGAUGAGGGAAAACAAUACUCGAUGAUGUGGGACUAUGCACAAGAGAUCAGAAUGUCAAACCCUGGAAGUAGCAUGUUUAUCAAACUCAAAGAUGGCAGAUUCCACCAAUGUUACAUGUCAUUAGAUGCUUGUAAAAGAGGCUUUUUGGCUGGAUGCAGGCCUGUUAUUUGUGUUGAUGGGUGCCAUCUUAAAACAAAAUAUGGUGGACAAUUGUUGACUGCUGUAGGGAUUGAUCCAAACAACUGUAUUUUCCCCAUUGCUAUGGCUGUAGUUGAAGUGGAGGACACACCAACAUGGAAGUGGUUUCUAGAGACUUUGAAAGAUGAUCUGCACAUAUUGAACACAGCACCUUGGACAGUGAUGAGUGAUAGGCAAAAAGGACUAAUAAAUGCCGUUACUGCUUUGUUCCCUCAUGGACAACACAGGUUUUGUGUGAGGCACCUUUACCAAAAUUUUGCAAAGAAGUGGAAGGGCGAGAACCUGAAGAACAAGUUAUGGGCAAUUGCAAGGUCGUACAAUAAAAUUGACUGGAGAAAAAACAUGGAUGACAUGAAGGAAUUAAAUCUGGAAGCUUAUGAGUACUUAGAAGCAAUUGAACCAAGUUCCUGGUGCAGGGCCUUUUUCCAAGAAUUACCAAAGUGUGACCUGCUACUAAACAAUAAUUGUGAGGUCUUUAAUAAG
rnacentral:rRNA from 1 species